rnacentral:rRNA from 1 species
AACGCGAAGAACCUUACCAUCCCUUGACAUGGCAUGUUACCCCGAGAGAUCGGGGAUCCUCUUCGGAGGCGUGCACACAGGUGCUGCAUGGCUGUCGUCAGCUCGUGUCGUGAGAUGUUGGGUUAAGUCCCGCAACGAGCGCAACCCACGUCCUUAGUUGCCAUCAUUCAGUUGGGCACUCUAGGGAGACUGCCGGUGAUAAGCCGCGAGGAAGGUGUGGAUGACGUCAAGUCCUCAUGGCCCUUACGGGAUGGGCUACACACGUGCUACAAUGGCGGUGACAGAGGGGCGCGAAACCGCGAGGUUGAGCAAAUCCCCAAAAGCCGUCUCAGUUCGGAUUGCACUCUGCAACUCGGGUGCAUGAAGGCGGAAUCGCUAGUAAUCGUGGAUCAGCACGCCACGGUGAAUACGUUCCCGGGCCUUGUACACACCG